UGUGAACCACCCUGAGAUCUACCUGUAUACAGUAGUCUACAAAUUUAAUAAAUAAUAAUAUUGUGUUUACAGCAAUAGAUGGCAUUGAAGGCAGCCAUACCUACAUAACUGAAUGUUCUUGUAACCCUUCUCCUCUCGCUGCCCCCGAACCUUCUUUCUUAAUAACUGCUGCAUACAAAUGAUCACCAUUAUUGUUCUACCUUCAGUGCAAACAUCUAGGAAGCUUAUGAAGGAGACGCCAACUAAGGGCCAGCUUACACAUGUGGUUCAGGUACCAUAAUUAAGCUACAGGCUUUCUAGGUAACUGAAAGUAGUUUCUGAUGAAAUGUGUGUUGCAUUAUAUAACUUUAUUCAGUGCUAUUAUUCUAGGAAAAGAGAUGCCGGACUAGCCAUGAAUGCCUCCCUUGUUCUCUUAUAAAGGCAAUGGCACCCACCUGAGAGGUGCCGGAACUGGGUUCCGGUGAGUUCCAGCUGGAAAAUAAAGCCCUGACUUUAUUCAAAACAAUCAACCCACCCUACUGCAAAUCCUCUUUUACUAUAUCUCUUUUCAGAUUAACUCUCCUUCCCCUUUUCGUCCUCUCUUCCAACUAUCCUUUAUCCAAAGAUGACAUUUCACUGUUCCUUCCUAUCUUACAUCCUUCAUCUCUCGGGGAUGUUUCAGAAUGAAAUAGCACCUCAUUGAUCAUGCAACAUUUCAAAUGGAAAAUUCUACACGAGAUCUUCAGAGGCACUGGCUUAUGCUUUAGCUCCAUCUUUUAAAACUGUGCUGCAGAAGUUUCUGGCAUGAAAUUAAGAGUUUCAGGUGUGAGUUAGGAACUGCAAGAUUGGAACAGGAGAAGAACGUUGGUACAAGGAACACCAGGGGGGCAGUGAGGGUGACUACUGAAGUGAGAAACAAAUAUUUGUAAUUACUGAUACCCUGGUAUCAGUAAUUAGAGCAGGAAGACACUUUGUGGCCAUAACAGCUGGGUUUGUGCUAUAUCAGCCCAUUAUUUUAAUGAAGCCCAUUUGAAGAAGUGGCUGGGGCAGGAAUGUCUGGUUAGCAUCUACUGGGUUUGCUCAGGAAAAUGCCUUGUAAAUGAAUUCUGUAAUCCUGUAAUCACACUGGCCAUAUCCUUCAGCACAUCCUUAGUUUUUCCAUUAAGGGUCAUUCAGACCUUGGAAUAAGGAAUGGACACUAAGGAUAUCUGCAUUAAUCCAAAAAUCUAAUGCAAAUUGCAAAGGGAAAAACACUGGGUAGACCAUGAGAGAAAUAGUUAAUUCCUGCCUGUCAUGGUCCCAAUCUUGCUCCCCUCAAUGACAGCUAUUUGCAUUUUUAUAAAAUGUACAAUUAAAUGCAACAAUGCAUUUAACAUCAUGUCUAGUUUGGCCCAGUUGGAAGUUCAGCUGGACAUAAGCCAAGAGAAGAGAUAUGAGCAAGAUUAAAAUAUUGUCUUGUGUCUGCAGAAUUUGUGAAGAAAAAUAGCAGGGAAGCUGCACAGGACAUAGACUACUGAGCUUCACCGUCUUGCAUUUGCCACAUGUUGCUGUCUUCCGUCCACUUCAGGAGGGGAAUCAAAUUUCAAGGAAAGCUGGAACACAGAAUAAGCUACCAAUGUUCAAGGCCAGCAGAGGUGAUUUCCCAAGAACGCUUGAUACACCGUGAAAAUUGAAACAACUGAAGCACCUUUGAAUGUGCAAAUUUCCCCCCUGAAUUGAAAUGAAUGAGUCAUCCCAGAAGCACAGAGAUCCGUCUGCACAUCUGAGCACACACCGAAAUCCCAGUAAUACCGAUUCUGAAGUCUGACUCCCAACUACGCGGAGAAGCAUUGGCUGAUUACUAUCUGACCUCUGUAACGAGGUAGGAGAAGACUGAGUUGUACCAUUCACCUUGGCAUCCACUUGAGGCUGAAACACCAGAAGGUCUGCUAGAAUUCUCUCCAGUUCACCUCUUUCUUCACUCUCCAAGGAAAUUAGAAUUUGUGCAGGGCUUCGCGGUUGACUGAGUGGGGAUUCUUGGUUCAAACUUUGGCAGUAGUGCUGGAUUAACAAAUGUUCAUCGUCUCUAAAAAUGCAAAAAAGGAAAAUGAUAAGAACAAGAGAAAGCAAAGCAAAGAGACCAGACCCACAUUUCCAUCUAGAAAACUGCCCUCCGCAUAUUUUGUCCUCAAGAAUGGCAGAGAGCUGUGAUAACGUAUGUAUCAAAGAGUAGUACAGAGUUUGUCUCGGCUGCUGGCAGAAACUCAGAAUUCAGUGUAUUAAACUGAUUACAACAGAACAGUUCAGUCCCAGUUUUUUUUACAUAUUAUUAGGUACAUUCUGCUAAAAUUUAGGCAGAAGUGGGAAAGUGGCAUAUCAGCAAAGUGGUCAAAUCAGUUCCUUGGUGCCAUCUGUCUGAGAAAAGAGGUAGAUAAUUUGUUACGGAUGAGUAUGUGCAAUAGCAAUAGCAAUCUUCAGCUGCUGUCAAGAUAAUCUUAUCUAAACUGAGAUCCCAGGACCCCUAGCACCCCCGUUUGGGAGGUCAAGAUUCCUACCUCUUGGGUCAACAGUAUUGUCUAGGUAGGGAUGUUCUGGAGCCUCCAGCUUCCCAGUGAUAUUCAGGGUCUCCUAUAGCCUAAAUACAGAACAGCUGGCAUGCACUUCACCAGAGGAGCAGUUCAUUCUUCCACUUUGAAUACAGUGUAAUAUGAUGUGAUCUUGUGUAUAAGUGAUUUUUCCUCACUUGUUUUUGUUUUCCUGUUCCUCUUCACCCCAACACUGCAUACUAUUCUAUUCAGAAAUUAGAAAUGUCAUGUCCAGGUUUUCCUUAUGCCUUCGUUUGUCCCACUGCCCUAAGGCUUUUCAACUGGCUCAUAAGUGAGCCAGUAUGUAUAGCUGUUACUGAAUCACUGCUGAAGACACCUCUGCAAGGUGGCAUUUAUGACUGGUACCUUUUAAACACAAGGCAUCUGCAACUUUAACAAAUGCAUGCAGAGAGAAAUUCAACCUGUGAAGCAUUUUGAAAUCAAGAAGGAAGCAACAGUUGUUUCUGUGCAGGUGUUGGCAACUAAUAACCUAGUGUCCUUCGUAAUAAACUGUGUAUGUGUAACCAAGGUUAAGCCACUAUAUGCCAUAUCAUUAAAGCAUUGUCUUGGAUUACAGCCAGCUCCUCUAUUUUUCCUUUCAUUUGUUGUGAAAAUUAGUUUAGCAGAGUUUUAUGCAAGGUUGUAAUUUUGUGCACCUUUUAUUACUAGGUUAUAUGAAAUUUUACACUGGCUAUUUUAAAAUAAAACCACAAUAAAGAUUAAGUUGUGGAGAAAAUAACUAGUAAGACAGAAAUAUCUUAUAUCCAUGGAGAGUUGCACCUGGUCAUUGUGCUUACAGAUCUGUGGGAAUACCGCAGGAAGGAGGACAUAAGAAAGAGGCAAAAGUGCUGCAAAGCCAACUGGGGGCAUGUAUUGCUUAACUAGUAGCUCAUUCAUGCAUAGGCGCCAACUUGUGAGGGAGAUGGGGGGGGGCAACAUCAUGUCAGGACGGUGGAGGAGCCAGGAAUAUGGCGACAACGUGUCUUCAAUGGCCGGCAGGUUCUCCUCCUCUUGCUGCCAUUGGCUGGGGGCUGCUUUCCCCUCAGGAGGAGAUGGCCACGGAAAUCUCACCAUGCUUGGCUCCAUGCUUGGCUCUGACUUUUUAGAACACUGGAGGCACCCCCAAAAUAUUUGGGGCCCCAAAAGGGUUAGGCCCCCAGGAGUUGGAAUUUCUGCAUUCAUGUGAACCUCUGAAUUGUUUGAACAAACAAAACACUUUUGUAACUCGACCUGAAGUGCACCUCCAAAGCCUGAAGUCUUAAGUUUUGCUGUACAUAGAUUAAAAUGUUGCUUCCAUUUGGGAUUUUAAUUUGUCUCUAUGCUUUAAGUUACUAUGGCAAAGAGCAAUUCAUAAAUAAUAAAAAAAUACUGGUUUUCUCCAA